UACAUAGGGUGCAAGCGUUGUCCGGAAUUAUUGGGCGUAAAGAGCUCGUAGGUCGUUUGCCACGUCGAUUGUGAAAAUCUGAGGCUCAACCUCAGACCUGCAGUCGAUACGGGCAAACUAGAGUGUGGUAGGGGAGACUGGAAUUCCUGGUGUAGCGGUGGAAUGCGCAGAUAUCAGGAGGAACACCAAUGGCGAAGGCAGGUCUCUGGGCCAUAACUGACACUGAGGAGCGAAAGCGCGGGGAGCGAACAGGAUUAGAUACCCUGGUAGUCCGCGCCGUAAACGAUGGGCACUAGCUGUGAGAGCCUUCCACGGUUCUCGCGACGCAGCAAACGCAUUAAGUGCCCCGCCUGGGGAGUACGAUCGCAAGAUUAAAACCCAAAGGAAUUGACGGGGCCCCGCACAAGCAGCGGAGCAUGCGGCUUAAUUCGACGCAACGCGAAGAACCUUACCAAGGCUUGACAUAUAGCGAAAAGUGGCAGAGAUGUCAUGUCCGCAAGGGCGCUAUACAGGUGGUGCAUGGUUGUCGUCAGCUCGUGUCGUGAGAUGUUGGGUUAAGUCCCGCAACGAGCGCAACCCCCGUUCUGUGUUACCAGCAUUCAGUUGGGGACUCACAGGAGACUGCCGGGGUCAACUCGGAGGAAGGUGGGGAUGACGUCAAAUCAUCAUGCCCCUUAUGUCUUGGGCUGCACGCAUGCUACAAUGGCCGGUACAAAGUGCUGCGAAAUCGUAAGAUUUAGCGAAUCACAUAAAGCCGGUCUCAGUUCGGAUUGAGGUCUGCAACUCGACCUCAUGAAGUCGGAGUUGCUAGUAAUCGUAGAUCAGCAACGCUACGGUGAAUACGUUCCCGGGGCU
rnacentral:rRNA from 1 species